AACCGAGAACUCCUACGGGAGGCAGCAGUGGGGAAUUUUGGACAAUGGGGGCAACCCUGAUCCAGCAAUGCCGCGUGAGUGAAGAAGGCCUUUGGGUUGUAAAGCUCUUUUGUCAGGGAAGAAACGGUAGUAGCUAAUAUCUAUUACUAAUGACGGUAACUGAAGAAUAAGCACCGGCUAACUACGUGCCAGCAGCCGCGGUAAUACGUAGGGUGCAAGCGUUAAUCGGAAUUACUGGGCGUAAAGCGUGCGCAGGCGGUUGUGUAAGUCAGAUGUGAAAUCCCCGGGCUCAACCUGGGAAUUGCACUUGAGACUGCACCGCUAGAGUGUGUCAGAGGGGGGUAGAAUUCCACGUGUAGCAGUGAAAUGCGUAGAUAUGGGGAGGAAUACCGCUGGCGAAGGCAGCCCCCGGGGAUAACUCUGACGCUCAUGCACGAAAGCGUGGGGAGCACACAGGAUUAGAUACCCCUGGAGUCCGACUGAGA
rnacentral:rRNA from 1 species